GACGAACGCUGGCGGUGUGCUUAACACAUGCAAGUCGAACGGAAAGGCCCUGCUUGCAGGGUACUCGAGUGGCGAACGGGUGAGUAACACGUGGGUGAUCUGCCCUGCACUUCGGGAUAAGCCUGGGAAACUGGGUCUAAUACCGGAUAGGAGCCAUUUUUAGUGUGAUGGUUGGAAAGUUUUUUCGGUGUAGGAUGAGCUGGCGGCCUAUCAGCUUGUUGGUGGGGUAAUGGCCUACCAAGGCGGCGACGGGUAGCCGGCCUGAGAGGGUGGACGGCCACAUUGGGACUGAGAUACGGCCCAGACUCCUACGGGAGGCAGCAGUGGGGAAUAUUGCACAAUGGGCGCAAGCCUGAUGCAGCGACGCCGCGUGGGGGAUGACGGCCUUCGGGUUGUAAACUCCUUUCGCUAGGGACGAAGCUUUUUGUGACGGUACCUAGAUAAGAAGCACCGGCUAACUACGUG
rnacentral:rRNA from 1 species